UAUUAGUUAAAAUGUUUAUUGUUUAAUAUAAUAUUAUAAUAUAUUUAUAUAUUAUAUGAUAUAAGUCUCAUAUAAUAAUAAAAUGUUUAUUUUGUACAGUACCUGUAUUAUAGUGAAACUAACUACUAAGUUAUAAUUGAAACAAAAUGGUUGUAAGAGCAUAUAAUGAAGAAUUAGCAUAUCUAGAGAAAAAAUCUCCAUAUAAAUGUGAAAUAAAGAAAGUAUUUCAACCAAAUAUGAGGGUUGAAGAGGUAUUUUAUGUUAGUUAAUUUUUGGAAAAACUUAUGUUGGAAGAAUUACAAAAUGCAUGUCGACCAGAAAUGAUUUGUGGAUUUUUACCUGGAGUUAAACCUGGAGUUAAUUUGCUAAUGUGGCUGCGUUUCCUGGCAUUGUUCAUAAAUCUAUAGGACUUUCAGAUGUACACUCUGGUUAUGGAUUUUCUAUAGAAAUAUGGUUGCACUCGUUUUGGAUGAUUCUCAAUCAAUUGUUUCACCGGGUGGUGUAGGAUUUGACAUUAAUUGUGGUGUACCAUUACUCCAGACAAACUUAUUUGAAAAAGAUGUCCAGCCCAUCAAAGUUAUAUUAUAAAUUAUAAUACUAAUAUCAUUUUUACCAUCAAAAUAUUAUCAUAUAUAAUAUUACCCCAAUGCUAUUUAGGAACAAUUAGUUCAUAGCAUGUUUGUUCAUAUUCCUGUUGGGGUAGGAUCAAAAGGAAUCAUACCGAUGAAUGCAAACGACUUAAAAGAAGCCCUUGAAAUGGGGACGGAUUGGUAUCUAAGGUUAAGCAUGAGAUGAAUACAAAGAACAUUGUGAAGAAAAUGGUAGAAUGCUGAAUGCAGAUUUGUCUAAUGUUAGCAUGAUGGCUAGAAAACAAGUUAGGAACAUUAGGAGCAGGCAAUUACUACUCAGACAUACAAGUAGUUUAUGAAGUUUAUGAUAAAUGGGAAUUGAAAAUAUUGGUCAAGUAUCUGUUAUGAUACAUUCUGGAAGUCGAUGUUUUGGACACCAAAUGGCAACUGAUGCUUUACUGGAAAUGGAAAAGGCUAUGAAACAGGACCAAAUUGAAGUUAAAGACAGACAAUUAUCUUGUGCUGGUAUCAAUUCCAAUGAAGAUCAAGAUAAUUUAAAAGCCAUGUCAGCUGCUGCAAAUUUUGCUUGGGUGAAUUGAAAGUUAAUGAAAUUUUUGGCACGUCAAGCUGUUGCAAAACAAUUCAAAUUGACUCAAGAUGAUUUAGACAUUCAUGUCAUAUAAUAUGAUGUAUCUCACAAUAUUAAUGGUAGAAGUACCUGAGUUGCAUAAAAAUGUCACUGAUGUGGUGGACACUUGUCAUGAGGCAGGGAUUAGUAAGAAGGAACUAUCCUUCUAAGGGAUAGUAAUGUUAAGACCAAUUUCUGUUAUCAAAUGAUAAAAAUAAGUUUUCUUUACCUCUAUAAUUUAUAAAUUACAUCUAAUUACAUGUUUAUUUUGUAUUACAUGUUGAUAAAUCACAUUCAUAUUAUGUAAAUGUUUUAUUUGUAUCUAUUGCCAUUUACUAUUGGCUAUAAUGCUAUUUAUGUGCCACAAUAUUUCUACAAUUUUGUUCAGGCAAUAUUCUAGUAUUAUUGAGUUAUGAACUUAUGCAUUUUAAGCUAUACAUGUCAUUAUAUUUAAAUUGCUUAAUAAAAUAGGUAAUAAUUUAAAUAUACAAUUAAAUUAAAAUUUGAACUUCAAAAGUCUAUAAAAAAAUCAUGCCAAUGUAUUUUUGAUAUUUUUAA